AUAUAAACCGCCACACUGCGGGCGGAAGAGCCCUCAGUCUGUCGUGGAAGAAACUGAUGCACUAUGUGUGGAAGACCAAGUACCAAGAUGCUUAACUGCUGCUUUGAGAGUGGAAUCUGGUGACCUGUGACCGUGGCCUGUGGAUGAGCUUCUGCGUUUGUACGAGUACUGUUUAAUGUGUAAAAUUCCCCCCCUGGUGAUGCUGGUGAUGAUCGUGUAAAUCUAUAGCUCUCUUUUAUGUACUUUGUAAGUUUGCUUUUUAUUUUUUAUUACUAUUAAAUGAGACUUUGAAACCAUCG